UUUGUGUAGAAGCUCUUUGCCGUGUUGCUGUGAGCUAUGACUUUUCACACACACUCUACUCACUGUGUUCACAGGGUGUGUAUCUUCAGGAAGAUCUUCUGCUUUGUGUGUGUCACAAUGCUUCUGGUUUUCAGUCUGUACACCGCGGUACCGUACUGGUACACAGAGUAAGAGCUCUAAUAGCUCUUUCUUCACUCCAUCAUUGCAUUUCUUACAAACGUGGAAAUGAGUGUGUUACGUACCGAGAGCCUCCAGGUCGUCUUUGUGAUGUUCGCAGCACUUUGUGUCAAAUCCGGAAAAGAGGCUCAACUGGAUCCGAAAGAGACUGAAACCAUCAAUAGGAUCACAUGGAAGAAAGAGAACAACAAAAUAGUCGAGUGGAUCGAGAAUCCAAAACCGCACAGAACCUGUGUCCAAACCUCGAGUCGCCAGAGACUGCAGUUGGACCCAGUGCAUCCUGGCCUGUGUGGGAGAGGAGACUAAUCACACCAAAUACUCCUGGAAAGAGAACAAGGAAACUGUAAAAGAGGGAAACAUUUUGAUGGUGGAGAAGAGUGGAGAGCAGAGUAAAAGUUACACCUGUGUGUUCAGUAACCCUAAGAGUGAGGAGCACAGUGACCCAGUCAGUGCGAUGGACAUAUCCCCAGGUCAGUAGUUGAACGUUUUUAAAAAAUACUCUGUAUUACAAUAUUUCUUAUAUGAUAUUCUAGAUUUCAGUAAAGUUGGUGUCAAGACUCCAGAGCAAUACUUUCUGCCAGUGGAAGUUCAUGACCUUCUGUAACAUUUGUUGAAAAUUAUGGAUUUUUUGGAACUGUAAUUUUAUACAUGUAUGGAUGAUUUAUCAAGUUUAUUAGGUUAAUUCCUUUGAUAAACUGUUUCUUUUAAAGGUUCUUCCGUUGGACUGAUAGUCGUUUUCAUCGUUGGAGUAACUGAGUUCCUGAUCCUCAGUCUAGUGGCCGUCAUCAUUUGAUGUUUAAAACAAAAUAAUUCCUAGGUCAUUAAAGCCCAUUAUUCCAAAAAAAUACUGAUAUCUGAGCAGAAUUAAUACACAGGUACCAUGACAUGAAGGUUCAGGACCUGUAUCUGUCACAGAGGUCUGUUGGUUGUACCUUCAGUCAAAGUAUCCCUCAGCAGAAGGUCAUGUUGGACUGGAGCGACUGCUGAGAGCAGAAGCACAAAGAGUCCAGUUCCUCCAACAGUGUUUCAUAGCUACACGUCACAUCAUUGUGUCCAUUUCAGUGCUUCUUCAGGGUUACGAGUGAAUUCCUAGUUGAUGAUCCUGCCUGUGAAGUUCUGCUCUCUGCUUCACGUCACACUUUCAGUGCCUGCUGUUGAACUUCUCUCAUUGUCUCCAGGAU
rnacentral:lncRNA from 1 species